rnacentral:tRNA from 1 species
CGGGAUGUGGCGCAGGUGGUAGCGCGCACGGCUGGGGGCCGUGAGGUCGUGGGUUCGAGCCCCGCCAUCCCGA